rnacentral:rRNA from 1 species
AGUGAACGCUGGCGGUAGGCCUAACACAUGCAAGUCGAACGGCAGCACAGUAAUAGCUUGCUCUUACGGGUGGCGAGUGGCGGACGGGUGAGGGAUACAUCGGAAUCUACUUUUUCGUGGGGGAUGACGUAGGGAAACUUACGCUAAUACCGCAUACGACCUACGGGUGAAAGCAGGGGAUCUUCUGACCUUGCGCGAUUGGGUGAGCCGGUUUCGGAUUAGCGAGUUGGUGGGGGAAAGGCCUACCAAGGCGACGAUCCGUAGCCGGUCUGAGUGGGUGAACGGCAACGUGGGGACGGAGAUACGGACCAGACUCCUACGGGGGGAAGCAGUGGGGAAUAUGGCACAAUGGGCGAAAGCCUGAGGCAGCGACGCCGCUUGGGUGAUGAAGGCCUUCGGGUUGUAAACGCCUUUCAGCCAUGACGAAGCCCUUGUGGGGACGGUAGUGGUAGAAGAAGCACCGGCUAACUACGUG